rnacentral:rRNA from 1 species
ACGCACGCUGGCGGCGUGCCUCAUCCAUGCAAGUAGCACGCUGAAGGAGGAGCUUGCUUCUCUGGAUGAGUUGCGAACGGGUGAGUAACGCGUAGGUAACCUGCCUGGUAGCGGGGGAUAACUAUUGGAAACGAUAGCUAAUACCGCAUAAUAGUAGAUGUCGCAUGACAUUUGCUUAAAAGGUGCAAUUGCAUCACUACCAGAUGGACCUGCGUUGUAUUAGCUAGUUGGUGAGGUAACGGCUCACCAAGGCAACGAUACAUAGCCGACCUGAGAGGGUGAUCGGCCACACUGGGACUGAGACACGGCCCAGACUCCUACGGGAGGCAGCAGUAGGGAAUCUUCGGCAAUGGACGGAAGUCUGACCGAGCAACGCCGCGUGAGUGAAGAAGGUUUUCGGAUCGUAAAGCUCUGUUGUAAGAGAAGAACGAGUGUGAGAGUGGAAAGUUCACACUGUGACGGUAUCUUACCAGAAAGGGACGGCUAACUACGUG